rnacentral:rRNA from 1 species
AUUGAACGCUGGCGGCAGGCCUAACACAUGCAAGUCGGACGAGCGGCGGACGGGCGAGUAAUGUAUAAGGACUUCCUGAUGGAGGGGGAUCACUACUGGAAACGGUCGCUAAUACCGCAUACCCUCAGAUAACCCAUAUGGGGUUAGCUGGUAGGUAAGGUAACGGCUUACCUAGGCGACGAUCCCUCGCUGGUCUGAGAGGAUGAUCGGCCACACUGGGACGGGGACACGGCCCAGCCUCUUACGGGGGAAGAAGUGGGGAACAUUCCACAAUGGGCGAAAUCCGGAUGCAGCACUGCCGCGUGUAUGAAGAAGGCCUGCGGGUUGUAAAGUACUUUCAGUCGGGAGGCGUUACCGAAAGAAGAAGCAACGGCUAACUCCGUGCCAGCAGCCGCGGUAAUUC